UACGUAGGGUGCAAGCGUUGUCCGGAAUUAUUGGGCGUAAAGAGCUCGUAGGCGGUUUGUUGCGUCGGCUGUGAAAUCCCGAGGGUCAACCUCGGGUCUGCAGUCGAUACGAGCAAACUAGAGUGUUGCAGGGGAGACUGGAAUUCCUGGUGUAGCGGUGAAAUGCGCAGAUAUCAGGAGGAACACCGGUGGCGAAGGCGGGUCUCUGGGCAACAACUGACGCUGAGGAGCGAAAGCGUGGGGAGCGAACAGG
rnacentral:rRNA from 1 species